GUGGGGAAUAUUGGACAAUGGGCGAAAGCCUGAUCCAGCCAUGCCGCGUGUGUGAAGAAGGUCUUCGGAUUGUAAAGCACUUUAAGUUGGGAGGAAGGGUAGUAACCUAAUACGUUGCUACUUUGACGUUACCGACAGAAUAAGCACCGGCUAACUUCGUGCCAGCAGCCGCGGUAAUACGAAGGGUGCAAGCGUUAAUCGGAAUUACUGGGCGUAAAGCGCGCGUAGGUGGUUCAGUAAGUUGGAAGUGAAAUCCCCGGGCUCAACCUGGGAACUGCUUUCAAAACUGCUGAGCUAGAGUACGGUAGAGGGUGGUGGAAUUUCCAGUGUAGCAGUGAAAUGCGUAGAUAUUGGAAGGAACACCAGUGGCGUAAGCGGCUAUCUGGACGAGUAUUGACGCUGAGGCACGAAAGCGUGGGGAUCAAACAGGAUUAGAUACCCCGGUAGUCC
rnacentral:rRNA from 1 species